UACAGAGGGGGCAAGCGUUGUUCGGAAUUACUGGGCGUAAAGGGCGCGUAGGCGGCCUUCUAAGUCGAACGUGAAAUCCCCGGGCUCAACCCGGGAACUGCGUCCGAUACUGGAAGGCUUGAAUCCGGGAGAGGGAUGCGGAAUUCCAGGUGUAGCGGUGAAAUGCGAAGAUAUCUGGAGGAACACCGGUGGCGAAGGCGGCAUCCUGGACCGGCAUUGACGCUGAGGCGCGAAAGCCAGGGGAGCAAACGGG
rnacentral:rRNA from 1 species